rnacentral:lncRNA from 1 species
CCCAGAACAUGGGAGGGAUGCCUCCCCAGAACAUGGGAGGGAUGCCACCCAACAACAUGGGAAGGAUGCCACCCAACAAUAUGGGAGGAAUGACACCGAAUCAAGGAUGGUCCGGUAACAUGCCUGGAAAUGCUCCAAACUUCCAAACUGGCCCCAACUAUGGAAACGCUCCUGGAAAUGCGCAGAACUUCCAACCUGGUCCUGGUCCUAACUAUGGAAACACACCUUACCAAGGUGCUACACCCAAUGCUCAAUAUCACCAGAAUAACUAUCCUCCAAAUGUUGGUG